UUUGGCCUCAAAUCAGGUAGGACUACCCGCUGAACUUAAGCAUAUCAAUAAGCGGAGGAAAAGAAACUAACAAGGAUUCCCCUAGUAACUGCGAGUGAAGAGGGAAAAGCUCAAAUUUGAAAUCUGGCAGUCUACGGCUGUCCGAGUUGUAAUCUAGAGAAGUGUUUUCCGUGCUGGACCGUGUACAAGUCCUUUGGAACAAGGCGUCAUAGAGGGUGAGAAUCCCGUCUACGACACGGACUCCCAGUGCUCUGUGAUACACUCUCAACGAGUCGAGUUGUUUGGGAAUGCAGCUCAAAAUGGGUGGUAAAUUCCAUCUAAAGCUAAAUAUAGGCGAAAGACCGAUAGCGAACAAGUACCGUGAGGGAAAGAUGAAAAGCACUUUGGAAAGAGAGUUAAACAGUACGUGAAAUUGUUGAAAGGGAAACGCUUGAAGUCAGUCGCGUCUUCAGAAACUCAGCCUGGCUUCUGCCUGGUGUACUUUUCUGUUGGACGGGCCAGCAUCAGUUUUGGCCGCCAGAAAAAGGUGGGAGGAAGGUGGCACCCUCGGGUGUGUUAUAGCCUCUCAUCGUAUGUGGUGGCUGGGACUGAGGACCGCAGCACGCCUCUAAUGGCCGGGGUUCGCCCACGUAACGUGCUUAGGAUGCUGGCGUAAUGGCUUUAAACGACCCGUCUUGAAACACGGACCAAGGAGUCUAACAUGCCUGCGAGUAUUUGGGUGGUAAACCCAUAUGCGGAAUGAAAGUGAACAGUUGGGACUUCUGUCAUGGAAGGCACCGACGCCCGGACCAGACCUAUUGUGACGGAUCCGAGGUAGAGCAUGUAUGUUGGGACCCGAAAGAUGGUGAACUAUGCCUGAGUAGGGUGAAGCCAGAGGAAACUCUGGUGGAGGCUCGUAGCGAUUCUGACGUGCAAAUCGAUCGUCGMACUUGGGUAUAGKGGCGAAAGWCUAAUCGAAC
rnacentral:rRNA from 1 species